AACGAACGCUGGCGGCAGGCCUAACACAUGCAAGUCGAGCGCGCCCUUCGGGGUGAGCGGCGGACGGGUUAGUAACGCGUGGGAACGUGCCCUUUUCUUGGGAAUAGCCUUGGGAAACCGAGAGUAAUGCCCGAUACGCCCUUUGGGGGAAAGAUUUAUCGGAGAAGGAUCGGCCCGCGUUAGAUUAGGUAGUUGGUGGGGUAAUGGCCUACCAAGCCUACGAUCUAUAGCUGGUUUGAGAGGAUGAUCAGCAACACUGGGACUGAGACACGGCCCAGACUCCUACGGGAGGCAGCAGUGGGGAAUCUUGGACAAUGGGGGCAACCCUGAUCCAGCCAUGCCGCGUGAGUGAAGAAGGCCUUAGGGUCGUAAAGCUCUUUCGCCGGGGAAGACAAUGACGGUACCCGGAGAAGAAACCCCGGCUAACUCCGUGCCAGCCGCCGCUGUAAAAC
rnacentral:rRNA from 1 species